GGACUACUGGGGUAUCUAAUCCUGUUUGAUCCCCACGCUGUCGCGCCUGAGCGUCAGUAAUGAGCCAGUGAGCCGCCUUCGCCACCGGUGUUCUUCCCAAUAUCUACGAAUUUCACCUCUACACUGGGAAUUCCACUCACCUCUCUCAUACUCAAGCUAAACAGUUUCAAUGGCAGUUCCGGAGUUGAGCUCCGGGCUUUCACCACUGACUUGGAUAGCCGCCUGCGCGCGCUUUACGCCCAGUAAUUCCGAACAACGCUAGCCCCCUUCGUAUUACCGCGGCUGCUGGCAC
rnacentral:rRNA from 1 species